CGGCAUGAGGGUGAGUAAUAAAUGACAUAAUUUUCAUUUUUGGGUGAACUAACCUUUUAAAACGGCCGACUCCCUGAUCAAUAUGCCCUGACUACUGAACUGGGGAGCUGAUUGAGACACACCCAGUAUGUUAACGCGCAGCUACAGAUUUAGGUUAAAUUCUCUCUUUUAUGGCUAAAAAAACUUACAUUACUAGCAAUUGUUGUAGUUCACCUAUUAUCUGACAAAAAUAUUUUCUAACGUAAUUCUAUGGGAAUUCUGUGUGUUUGCAUAGUUUUAAACCAACACAGUGAAUAUUUCGUAUGGAUCCUGUGAAUCGGACGCAGCUAUAGUCAGCUGUAUUAUCAUUGUCGUAAAUAUUGAGGUGAGCAGUGUGUCUGAGUGUCAAGUUCACUGUUCAGCCCACUGUGUGCGUAGCGGAGAAUCUCGCUGCGUCGAGUUGAGUUGAAGUGUGGGAGUAGCUGUGACAGUGACGUUUGAUCAUUGCUGAGGGGGAUUGCCUCGUGAGUGGGCGGGAAACUGAGACCGCGAAAAAGCAAGUAGAGAGCGCGCUCUGUAGCGGAACGUUCUCGUGCGGUUACCAUGACGCUGAGAGUGGGUGAAUCCCGCCCUGUCGCGCUAUUCUGACCUCUGGAUUGGUAUUUGUUUGAGGCCUGCAUGACCCGUUUCUCCUGCUGCAGUCCCUGAGGAACUGGUUCCUGUUCCUGAACACCAGUCUUACAAUGAAGAGCUGGGGACUUGUGCGUGUGGAUGAUCGAGAGAAGAAAAAGAAUGAAUCUCAUUCCUUUUGUAACAGACAGAAAGUGCCAUGUCUGUUUAACUGAGCAGGACUGCUCUGUGACCUUAUACUUUAAACAAAACUAUUGACAUUAGUUAUAAUGAUAGUAAUGCUCAGAUAUGCUUGGAAUUUGGAUCUCUUUCCAGCACACAAUGCCACAAUCUAGGUGGAGAGUUUCUGUAAAUGUCCCAGUUGUGUGGAUUAAGUCUUUCAUGGAAUGUUGUUUAUGGAAAACGUGAGUGGUGCUUACCAGUGCAAAAGUUGCAACCACACUGCUAGGGUGUUGUGGUUGUUGAGCUACUGAUCUAAGUCAAAUAAAAGCCCCUUAAGUCUCUAAGA